rnacentral:rRNA from 1 species
ACAUCCAGAGAAUUUAGCAGAGAUGCUUUAGUGCCUUCGGGAACUCUGAGACAGGUGCUGCAUGGCUGUCGUCAGCUCGUGUUGUGAAAUUGGUUGGUUAAGUCCCGNAACGAGCGCAACCCUUUAUCCUUUGUUGCCAGCACGUAAUGGUGGGAACUCAAAGGAGACUGCCGGUGAUAAACCGGAGGAAGGUGGGGAUGACGUCAAGUCAUCAUGGCCCUUACGAGUAGGGCUACACACGUGCUACAAUGGCGCAUACAAAGAGAAGCGACCUCGCGAGAGCAAGCGGACCUCAUAAAGUGCGUCGUAGUCCGGAUUGGAGUCUGCAACUCGACUCCAUGAAGUCGGAAUCGCUAGUAAUCGUAAAUCAGAAUGUUACGGUGAAUACGUUCCCGGGCCUUGUACACACCGCCCGUCACACCAUGGGAGUGGGUUGCAAAAGAAGUAGAUAGCUUAACCUUCGGGAGGGCGUUUACCACUUUGUGAUUCAUGACUGGGGUGAAGUCGUAACAAGGUAAGCGUAGUGCU